rnacentral:rRNA from 1 species
AUCCCUCCUGCUCAUACACAACCUCCCGCGACGGCCGCCGCGGUUUUCAUCGAGUUGUUCUUGGUGGCAGUACGCCUCCGUACUGUGAUAGCUGUGCCUAGGCGAAGCAGACGCGGCCGUUCCCGGUUGGCAAGGUCUAGGCUGGUCCCGUUCAACGACGAACAAUAUUUGGUCUCGUAACUACAGGCGAAGGUCGACGACCCGGUACCCGAGGAGGUAGACGAGGCGUUCGAGUACUAGGCGCUAAAGGAAGACUUCGACGCACUCUCUUUGUCUUUACGUUGUAAGUGUUACGUCACUAACAAGGACCAAGAUCUUUUAUAACGUUCCUUAAAAACGAUGCAUACUUGGUUCUUUACGCCGUAAAUCUAUA